AGGUGAUAAUAAAAGGAUACAAGGAUGGGAACAGUGGAAUUAGUAGGAUGACUAAAGUGGGGGA